UUGGAAGUGAACCAUCUCAGUACCCCCAGGAAGAGAAAGCGACAGCGAUUCCGUCAGUAGCGGCGAGCGAACGCGGAACAGCCUAAACCGACAGGGCGUGAUAGCCCGCGAGCGUUGCCUUGUCGGGGUCGUGGGACGUUACCGGGUCCGGUUGCGGACGGGCCGGAGAGUCAGAAACCACCAGCCUAGCCGAAGGUCUCUGGAAGGUGCAGCCACAGAGGGUGAUAGCCCCGUAGGCGAAAGGUUCGGUGGCUCUCUAGUAGCGUUCCCAAGUACCACGGGACACGUGGAACCCUGUGGGAAUCCGGGUGGACCAUCACCCAAGGCUAAAUACUCCUCUGCGACCGAUAGUGAACCAGUACCGUGAGGGAAAGGUGAAAAGAACCCCUGUUAGGGGAGUGAAAUAGUACCUGAAACCGUGCAUCUACAAGCAGUGGAAGCGCUAUGGCGCAAGCCAGCGCGACCGCGUGCCUUUUGCAUAAUGAGCCGGCUAGUU
rnacentral:rRNA from 1 species